AAGUAAAAAGUCGCCACAAAAAUAAGUAGUAAAGUAAAAAUAUCAGAAAAAUUUACUUGAGUACCGUACGAAGUAUUUGUACUCCGUUAAAUUCCCAUCUUGGCU